GGGUUGUGAGGUUAAGCGACUAAGCGUACACGGUGGAUGCCCUGGCAGUCAGAGGCGAUGAAGGACGUGCUAAUCUGCGAUAAGCGUCGGUAAGGUGAUAUGAACCGUUAUAACCGGCGAUUUCCGAAUGGGGAAACCCAGUGUGUUUCGACACACUAUCAUUAACUGAAUCCAUAGGUUAAUGAGGCGAACCGGGGGAACUGAAACAUCUAAGUACCCCGAGGAAAAGAAAUCAACCGAGAUUCCCCCAGUAGCGGCGAGCGAACGGGGAGCAGCCCAGAGCCUGAAUCAGUGUGUGUGUUAGUGGAAGCGUCUGGAAAGGCGCGCGAUACAGGGUGACAGCCCCGUACACAAAAAUGCACAUGCUGUGAGCUCGAUGAGUAGGGCGGGACACGUGGUAUCCUGUCUGAAUAUGGGGGGACCAUCCUCCAAGGCUAAAUACUCCUGACUGACCGAUAGUGAACCAGUACCGUGAGGGAAAGGCGAAAAGAACCCCGGCGAGGGGAGUGAAAAAGAACCUGAAACCGUGUACGUACAAGCAGUGGGAGCACGCUUAGGCGUGUGACUGCGUACCUUUUGUAUAAUGGGUCAGCGACUUAUAUUCUGUAGCAAGGUUAACCGAAUAGGGGAGCCGAAGGGAAACCGAGUCUUAACUGGGCGUUAAGUUGCAGGGUAUAGACCCGAAACCCGGUGAUCUAGCCAUGGGCAGGUUGAAGGUUGGGUAACACUAACUGGAGGACCGAACCGACUAAUGUUGAAAAAUUAGCGGAUGACUUGUGGCUGGGGGUGAAAGGCCAAUCAAACCGGGAGAUAGCUGGUUCUCCCCGAAAGCUAUUUAGGUAGCGCCUCGUGAAUUCAUCUCCGGGGGUAGAGCACUGUUUCGGCAAGGGGGUCAUCCCGACUUACCAACCCGAUGCAAACUGCGAAUACCGGAGAAUGUUAUCACGGGAGACACACGGCGGGUGCUAACGUCCGUCGUGAAGAGGGAAACAACCCAGACCGCCAGCUAAGGUCCCAAAGUCAUGGUUAAGUGGGAAACGAUGUGGGAAGGCUCAGACAGCCAGGAUGUUGGCUUAGAAGCAGCCAUCAUUUAAAGAAAGCGUAAUAGCUCACUGGUCGAGUCGGCCUGCGCGGAAGAUGUAACGGGGCUAAACCAUGCACCGAAGCUGCGGCAGCGACGCUUAUGCGUUGUUGGGUAGGGGAGCGUUCUGUAAGCCUGCGAAGAUGUGCUGUGAGGCAUGCUGGAGGUAUCAGAAGUGCGAAUGCUGACAUAAGUAACGAUAAAGCGGGUGAAAAGCCCGCUCGCCGGAAGACCAAGGGUUCCUGUCCAACGUUAAUCGGGGCAGGGUGAGUCGACCCCUAAGGCGAGGCCGAAAGGCGUAGUCGAUGGGAAACAGGUUAAUAUUCCUGUACUUGGUGUUACUGCGAAGGGGGGACGGAGAAGGCUAUGUUGGCCGGGCGACGGUUGUCCCGGUUUAAGCGUGUAGGCUGGUUUUCCAGGCAAAUCCGGAAAAUCAAGGCUGAGGCGUGAUGACGAGGCACUACGGUGCUGAAGCAACAAAUGCCCUGCUUCCAGGAAAAGCCUCUAAGCAUCAGGUAACAUCAAAUCGUACCCCAAACCGACACAGGUGGUCAGGUAGAGAAUACCAAGGCGCUUGAGAGAACUCGGGUGAAGGAACUAGGCAAAAUGGUGCCGUAACUUCGGGAGAAGGCACGCUGAUAUGUAGGUGAAGUCCCUUGCGGAUGGAGCUGAAAUCAGUCGAAGAUACCAGCUGGCUGCAACUGUUUAUUAAAAACACAGCACUGUGCAAACACGAAAGUGGACGUAUACGGUGUGACGCCUGCCCGGUGCCGGAAGGUUAAUUGAUGGGGUCAGCGCAAGCGAAGCUCUUGAUCGAAGCCCCGGUAAACGGCGGCCGUAACUAUAACGGUCCUAAGGUAGCGAAAUUCCUUGUCGGGUAAGUUCCGACCUGCACGAAUGGCGUAAUGAUGGCCAGGCUGUCUCCACCCGAGACUCAGUGAAAUUGAACUCGCUGUGAAGAUGCAGUGUACCCGCGGCAAGACGGAAAGACCCCGUGAACCUUUACUAUAGCUUGACACUGAACAUUGAGCCUUGAUGUGUAGGAUAGGUGGGAGGCUUUGAAGUGUGGACGCCAGUCUGCAUGGAGCCGACCUUGAAAUACCACCCUUUAAUGUUUGAUGUUCUAACGUUGACCCGUAAUCCGGGUUGCGGACAGUGUCUGGUGGGUAGUUUGACUGGGGCGGUCUCCUCCUAAAGAGUAACGGAGGAGCACGAAGGUUGGCUAAUCCUGGUCGGACAUCAGGAGGUUAGUGCAAUGGCAUAAGCCAGCUUGACUGCGAGCGUGACGGCGCGAGCAGGUGCGAAAGCAGGUCAUAGUGAUCCGGUGGUUCUGAAUGGAAGGGCCAUCGCUCAACGGAUAAAAGGUACUCCGGGGAUAACAGGCUGAUACCGCCCAAGAGUUCAUAUCGACGGCGGUGUUUGGCACCUCGAUGUCGGCUCAUCACAUCCUGGGGCUGAAGUAGGUCCCAAGGGUAUGGCUGUUCGCCAUUUAAAGUGGUACGCGAGCUGGGUUUAGAACGUCGUGAGACAGUUCGGUCCCUAUCUGCCGUGGGCGCUGGAGAACUGAGGGGGGCUGCUCCUAGUACGAGAGGACCGGAGUGGACGCAUCACUGGUGUUCGGGUUGUCAUGCCAAUGGCACUGCCCGGUAGCUAAAUGCGGAAGAGAUAAGUGCUGAAAGCAUCUAAGCACGAAACUUGCCCCGAGAUGAGUUCUCCCUGACUCCUUGAGAGUCCUGAAGGAACGUUGAAGACGACGACGUUGAUAGGCCGGGUGUGUAAGCGCAGCGAUGCGUUGAGCUAACCGGUACUAAUGAACCGUGAGGCUUAACCUUACAACGCCGAAGGUGUUU
rnacentral:rRNA from 1 species